GGGGAUAUAGCUCAGUUGGUAGAGUGCUUGCCUCUCAUUCCCCAUGUCCUGGGUUCAAUUCCCAGUACCACCA
rnacentral:tRNA from 1 species